rnacentral:rRNA from 1 species
GCCCAAGAGAUCGGGAUAACACCUGGAAACAGAUGCUAAUACCGGAUAANAACAGAUGAUGCCUAUCAACUGUUUAAAAGAUGGUUCUGCUAUCACUCUUGGAUGGACCUGCGGUGCAUUAGCUAGUUGGUAGGGUAACGGCCUACCAAGGCGAUGAUGCAUAGCCGAGUUGAGAGACUGAUCGGCCACAUUGGGACUGAGACACGGCCCAAACUCCUACGGGAGGCAGCAGC